CCUACAUUCUAUAAGUUCUGUUUUUUUGUGACACUUUGUAUAACGUGAAUUGACAGCCAUAGGAAAGUACAGGAGAACUUAUGUCGCUGAGGGAACUAUUCCGGAGGGAUGGUGGGUUGAAUUUCUCCUGUAUAUCAGGUUUUUGCUCCCACUAGGUUUUCCUGUACUAGAGGGAUAACUAGAUAACGGAGCAACAUAAAAGAAGAAAAAGUGGGGGAAUGUGGGGUGAUGCAACCCUAUUUGACUGUUUUCUUUCACCCUGCUUAUAUCACUCACUAUAAUUCCUGUGCUCCCCUUUCCUACUUCAGAUCUCAUAGUUUAGAUAGAAGGGAUAAAUAAAUGUGCUCAACAUAAGAGAAGAAAAAGUGAGGGAAUGUGGUGACAUUCUGUCAUCAAACUAAUAUGGUGACCAGGGGUCAUGUGACCAAGCUCAUGUUUGCUUUUCUUACAGUGGGAUAAGCUUUACCCUUUUGAAAUGUUAAUUGGUAAUUCAAUACCUUUACAAGUCAGGAAAGAGAUAACCACUUCCCC